CUACGUGCCAGCAGCCGCGGUAAUACGUAGGGGGCAAGCGUUAUCCGGAUUUACUGGGUGUAAAGGGAGCGUAGACGGAAUGGCAAGUCUGAAGUGAAAUACCCGGGCUCAACCUGGGAACUGCUUUGGAAACUGUUGUUCUAGAGUGUUGGAGAGGUAAGUGGAAUUCCUGGUGUAGCGGUGAAAUGCGUAGAUAUCAGGAAGAACACCGGAGGCGAAGGCGGCUUACUGGACAAUAACUGACGUUGAGGCUCGAAAGCGUGGGGAUCAAACAGGAUUAGAUACCCUGGUAGUCCACGCCGUAAACGAUGUCGACUUGGAGGUUGUGCCCUUGAGGCGUGGCUUCCGGAGCUAACGCGUUAAGUCGACCGCCUGGGGAGUACGGCCGCAAGGUUAAAACUCAAAUGAAUUGACGGGGGCCCGCACAAGCGGUGGAGCAUGUGGUUUAAUUCGAUGCAACGCGAAGAACCUUACCUACUCUUGACAUCCAGA
rnacentral:rRNA from 1 species